AACCCACCCGGGCCAUCGUGCUGGGGAGCACCGUCUUGCUUAUCCCCUGCGUCCAGGAUUUUAGGUAUUUGUGUAAAUUUGUUGCCACUACGCAUUCCUGCCCUAGUUUCGUAGUCCUAUUGAAACUUUUCGACGUGCGUGGUUUUGCCUUUGCGAAACCAUCACUAACUCACCACCAUGGGAUUUUUUGGACGUAAGAAGAAAGCAGAGGAGACUCUUCCACCCGCUCCCCAGCCAAGCAAACCCAACUUGGAGUCACCCGCCAUAGCCGAACCUCCCAAACCUGACAUCAACGCAGCUUUCAAAUCCGAAACAAGUGUAUUCGAAUUCGGGUCCAGCAGUGACGAUGGCGUUACUCUAGCAGGAUACUGCCCUGUCUCAGAUGAAAUGGAGCCUUGCAGGUGGGAAAUUCUGCCCUCUGGGGGCAAGGAAGCUCCCAAGUUCCGCAUCAUUUUCUGAGGUGAUGCUUGCUUGCUUCCAAUGUAUCUGUGAGGAUAGUCUUCUGAACAAAGUUGAUUAUAUUAUAUCAUCAGAUUGUCUUGUAAAUUUUUUCUCUUGAAUGUAUUGGGCUGUCAGUGAUCA